GGGAUGAAACAAGAGGGCGGCUGAAGCCGAUCCUGAGUGGGGCCCCAGCAAUUCGGAAUGAGCCUUUUCCCUCCACCCGCUUCUGCCGACCGGGGCCCUCCCGCGCGGCCUCGCAGGCCUCCCCACCCGCGCCCGUCCCUCCUCCUCCGCUUUCCCUUCUCCCCCGUCCUCGGCUCCGACAUUAGGGGCAGGCGGGGCAGGCAGCCCAAGCAGCCUGCGGCUUCCGCUGCGGAGCGCUGCGCCCCGGCCCCUGCCCCGGCCCCUGCCCCGGCCCCGCCGCCGCCGCCGCCCAAGUCCGGACCCAUCGGGGGGCUCAGCUCGCGGCACCGCGAGCAGCAGGGGCAGGUGGGCCGCCGCCGCCGCCUAGGUUGAGGCAGCCUCCAAGCCGUGGCUGAGCUCGCCCAGGGGGGAGCAGCAGUAGCCGGAGGAAGCCGCCGCUGGUCCCCCAAGCACCAGCGCCCGGGUGGAAGGGGCGAGGAGGCGGGGGCGGCGGCGGCGGCGGCGGCCACCUGGCCCGGACCACCGCGGCCCGGAGGGCCGUGAACAAAGUGGUGUACGAUGACCACGGGAGCUAGGAGGAAGAGGACGGCGACGUCGAGGAGACCCAGGAGUCUGAGGACAACGAGGAGCAUGAGAUGGAGGAGGACGAGGCUGAUUCCGAUUAUCUGGAGGAGCUGGAAGACGACGACGACGCCAGUUACUGCACAGAAAGCAGCUUCAGGAGCCAUAGUACCUACAGCAGCACUCCAGGUACCCACCCAGCCCAGUUGCUGCAGACUCCUUCCCCACCUCCUCUGCCCUCCCCCCUUGCUCACUCGUGUGCUGUGCAUCCUGCUCCGAUCUCCCCCCAACCCCGCCUCCCCCCCAAACAGAGGGGAAAUGCGAGGGCACAUCAAGUGGCAAAAAACUAGAUUUACAAGAGGAAAGAGGCGCAUUGUUAAAAAUGGAGAUUGCAUUGUUGCAGUUUGCAGGCUACACUCGCUCGCUCUCUCUCUCCCCCCCAACCUCCUCUUUUUCCUCUUCAAAAUUUGUGCCAGUGCAGUGUCUCCACCGGGCAGGAUUGAAACUUUGGCAAACACGUAUCCAUUGCAUUCAUUUCUUUCCCCUUGUUUUGGUCUGGUUUUCUGGAAUGAAAGAAGCCUCUUGUUUUACAAACCUCUUUGCAUUUCUAAUGUGGUUUCUUUCAGAUUUUUAUUAGAUAUGUUACUUAAAAGGGAAUUAAGGGUUUGGACAGAUUGUGGCACACAAACACACACAAAAACAUGUCUGUUUUCACAUCCCUAGCUGUGGUUUUAAAAUUGUGUUAAGGAAAUGGAUCAUUUGGGUUAGUAGGGGAAUUUUAUCUGGUCCUGUAUGUUUGCUUUUAUUCUUCGAGUGCUAAUGGGCCUGUGCAACAGUUGCUGGUAAAUGGCUGAUUAAAAAGCAAAGCAGAAAGCCAAACAAGACCCACCCAACUUUGGUUAUUCAUUCGAUUCAAAAUUGUUUUUGGUUAAAUCAAAAAUGAAAGUACAAAACCGCAGGAACGCGCAUCUUAGCUCAUUUGAUCGCUUUGCCUUGCUUGGGAAAUGCAGUUUCGUGUCACCUGUUGCAGAAGAUAUGUAGUUGAUCAUCUAGACAUAAUUGCUGAAGAUAAACUUUUGGACCAACUUCUAAGUCACACAGCAUCAUUAUCAGAUUUAUUACACAACGACUUUUUUGUUUUCACUCUAUUUCUGAGGAAAAAGCCUUCCCGAAAUCCGUAAUGAAUUUCUCCAUGGUAACCCCUCUUCUGUUUUCACACAGAAAAGUUUCUCUAGACUGUUGCUAAGAUGCAUUUUGUUAAAUACCCCCCCCCCACAAAGGCUGCUUUGUAUUAAAUACGUAGUUGGAAUUUACUAAAUUGUGAAAUUAACGUAACCGAAGCAACAACCGGCAAGACUUUUCCUUUAUAAUUUUGCAAAUCUAGAUUAAUUAAAUUAGAAUCUGUUUUUAAAAGCAUUAAAAAAAUAAAGUUUAUGAGAAAAUA
rnacentral:lncRNA from 1 species